rnacentral:tRNA from 1 species
GGGUGGUUAGCUCAGUUGGUAGAGCUUCUGCCUUACAAGCAGACUGUCACUGGUUCAAGUCCAGUACCGCCUA